rnacentral:lncRNA from 1 species
AUUUGUUUUUACACUAGAUUAUUGAUUAGAAAUGAGUAAAGAGGUCAACAGGGCUUGCUCUUUCCUUUAUUUUUUACAUAAUAUGUCAACACUUUGCGUGCCUUGCACAUUUCAUUUAACAAUUUUUAUAUAUAUAACCAUUCUACUUUGUGUGUGUGAUUGUUUAAAAUUGUAUGCUAUAAGUAGAGGUCAACAGGGCUUGCUCUACAUUAUUGUUGUCUUAUAACUUGUUAAUGAUUAGUAUACACACUGAACAAUGUACCCAG